rnacentral:rRNA from 1 species
UCGGCGGAAUUGGGUGGAGCUUGUGGUUUUAAACACGGUGACCGAGAGGAACCUUACCUAGGCUAGAAUGCGCGUGACCGGUUCAGAGAUGGACCUUUCCUUCGGGACACAAAGCAAGGUGCUGCAUGGCCGUCGUCAGCUCGUGCCGUGAGGUGUUGGGUUAAGUCCCGCAACGAGCGCAACCCCUACAUUUAGUUGCCAGCGGAUUAUGCCGGGGACUCUAGAUGGACUGCCUGCGCAAGCAGUGAGGAAGGCGGGGACGACGUCAGGUCAUCAUGGCCCUUACGCCUAGGGCUACACACGUGCUACAAUGGACGGUACAGAGGGUCGCUACACAGUGAUGUGAUGCCAAUCUCACAAAGCCGUUCUCAGUUCGGAUCGAAGUCUGCAACUCGACUUCGUGAAGCUGGAAUCACUAGUAAUCGCGUAUCAGCAAUGACGCGGUGAAUACGUUCCCGGGCCUUGUACACACCGCCCGUCAAGCCAUGGAAGUCUGGUAGACCUGAAGCUGGUGCUCCGCAACGAAGCCAGUUAGGGUAGAACAGGUAACUGGGGCUAAGUCGUAACAAGGUAACCGG